ensembl:lncRNA
UGACGAUAUUUGGACAAAUCAUAUGCGUGCUACUACCCACAAUGCGUUAUUCGCUUGAUUAACUUGCCGGACAUCGUGUGUUCUUCUUACAGUGUUUCCUAUGUAUACUGCUAACCAUCUGACUGCCGUUACCACAUAAUCUUGUCCACAUGGCAAGAUCAAUGCCUUCAGUAUCCUCUCACAUAUGUUUAGGCUCCUACUAUAUGUCUACUGGCCAUGGUUGAAUUUUUUUGUAUUGCUAGAAUGGCUCUCUAAGAGGUGUUCAAUCUCAAAAUCACCGCUGGCAUCUACAUGUUUACGUAUGGUUCAACCUUACCAUCAGUAUGCGAAUGCGAUUCGGUAUGAAAAUGCGUAUUGGUGGAUAUGUAAUUCUACAGGAAUUUCCAACUGUUUAAAACGUCAGCACAUAAGGUGCUUUCACACUGUGAACAAUCACCCAGCAUAGCCAUGGCCUCCCUCGGUGGUCUGUUGCCAAGGGGAACCAUCCUGGCCGAAUGAUACAGAGAGAGAAUUGAGAGUGGAAGCAGCCUUGAGGUGCCCGAAGACGAGAGAUGGUCGUCACUGACAGGAGCUCCAGCACACCUGUGCCCAAGAAGCCGGAGCCAAAGAAGAAGAAGAAGAGGAAGUCCCGCCCCCAUGGCUUGCCCUCCCCUGCGCUGUGUUGUGCGUGCGGCCUGUGCAUCAUGCUGGCGGGCAUCAACAUCACCCUGGUGGGGGCGUUUGCCUUCAGCACCCUGGUGCCCUCCGCCAACCCUCCUAUCAUCAUAGGACCCAUCCUGCUCCUAGUGGCCUUCUCUUUCUUCGGCGCGUGCUGUGUCUGUAGCCGUCUGCCCCCCGCCCAGGGAUCCCGGAGGUCAAAGGUUGGCGGGAGGAGCAUGGGGAUGCUGGGACGGGGAGGUCUCGCAGGGGGGGCGACGUUCGAGAUUGAGACGAGCGAGCACACUUUGCAGGACACCACGGCGGUGCAGCUCAGCCCCUCGGCGUCGCCGGGGUCUUCGCGGGCGUCCAGCCCAGAGCGGGAUGCUCCUGAGCCAGCCCCGAAAGGGACCUGCAAGCUGUUCACCAUGGAGGCCAAUGGCCCCGCCUCUGCCACGGCCUGCUACACCGCCUCCUCGGACGGGGUCGGGGCUGUGAGGCUUAACCUGCCGCGUGACGAUGUGGCCACCUAGUACAGCCUCCCUGGAGCCUCCUGCCAAAUAAUGACGACUUAUGGCAACGACACGUGAAACUAUGUAAAUAGGAACUAGGAUGGUCUGACAGUGUUUCCGUGUGUCUAGCCUUUUCGUGAAGUGCAAUUUUUCAUGUUUAUGACAAAGUUUUGAUUCAGUUUUUUGCAGCAGCCGACCUGUUAUUAGCAUGCCAUCCAAUGUCGAAGGAGCGUGGAUGAUGGCUCUGUUGGGGUGGAUGUUCCUACCUCUUUAAAACUGCUCUUCAGCACCCUCUUCCAUGGGGCAUUAUUUUAAGCAGUUGACUGGAAAGCACAAUGAGAGAAUUGGUUUCUCUGUUCAUUCUUGGGGGGUGAAGUACAAAUAGUGGUGUCCCUUUGAUUCGACUGACUGGGACUCCAUGCUCCACAUUUUAGCUGUUUCCUCUGAAGAAACUUUUUUUUCUCCCGGAACAGAAAUAUUUACGCAAAAUAGCAAUGAAUUUAAUGCCAUCAAUUAAAUGCUCACACUGUUUGACAUUACAGAGCUUCUCUCACUUUGAAUUACGUGCAAAAAAACAUAUCGGGGUCGCAAUGUUUCUUUGAAACUAAUCGUAAUUGAAAGGAUCAGCGACAGAGGGCUUUUUUCCUCAACUGUUUCUACGAACUGAACGUAUAUUGGAUGAAACACUGUAGUCUUUGUGUUGUUCUCGUAUGGUGAGGGUGCUUGGGUAACUUGGCCGCAUCAAUGGUUGUUUAUAAUAUCACUGUGUUUUCAUGAGUGGAAAUCUCGUCUGCUUUUACACUGUGACUAUUAUGUUGUUGUGUUUUUUUACCACCUUUUCCAGGCUUACUAAAGAUCAUCAUAUUAGAGCCAAAUUAGACUUCACAGCAUUCACUGCCACUUUGACAGAAUCCAGAAUACAUUAACAGCCACUGUGUGUGCGUUGCAUAACACAACAUAUCCCUAUCAACAUUAUGGUUAUAAAAAUUAGGAAUGCUAUUUACAGAUAUGCCCUACUACACAUAGAUUAUUUGCCAACAUGUGGCUUUCUAGACUUGCUGUGGCAAUCUGAUGACAUUCUGUUUACAGUAGCUUGGGAAAGUGGAAAAAGUAUUAGAUAUUGUACGUAGACUAAAAUAUAGUCAGGUAUUUCGAUUUUGUUGUAUUUAUAAUUUCACCCCCUUCCCCCGAUUAUAUUUUUCUCACCGAUGGGACAGUUUCUCUACCUGUUCUCAGUAGAAACCAUCGAACACAGACACUCAAAGUCACUUUUAAGUAAUGCUGCCUUAGACUGAGCUCUCAGGAUUAAACAGACAAUGGCUAUUUUAAUAUGCGUAAUGGCAUUGUCAGCAGCAAACAGCAGUAAAGCAGUAAGAUGUGAUGAGUUUACAUCACAGUUAGAUUGAAAAAAUAUAUAUUUUCAUUCCCCCAGUAUUUGGCCCAUAAUGCCGUUUAGAUUUUUUUUUUUUUAAGCGUAAUAGGAAAGUAGCUUAUUUGGUAUUUUUGCAGAACAAUUUCCCAUGAGAAAAAAAUUAUAGUUCAUGUGAGGAAUUACAUACUGUAUGAGUGUGACUCAUAUGCCCAGAGAAUGUGCCUGUUUUAAAUGUGAACUGUCAACAUACUGUAUAUGUUAACUAUCAGUGUUGGCUGGGUUUUUCCCAAAAAAAAUAUAUCUUUAAAAAUUUAUUAUUUUUGUGGAAAUUAUAUUUACCUAAUUUGAAAACAAUAUAUGUAAUACUUGUGAAUACUAAGAAGAUAAAUAAAAUGAAAUGCAAAUAUGAAAUGGAUUUCAAAGACAAAGAGUUUAUUACAGUGAACUGCAUGAAAGGAUUCAAAGUUUCUUUGUACAAAAUUCUAUUCCUUUGUUUGCACUUCAUCGGUUCCUGCUGUUAAAUCUUGCUGCUGCUGAGGCCGUUGGUUGUCUGAACACUGGCUCUUUUCAGACAUCUUUUUCAAUGCCAUUAGGCAGAGCCAUCUCUGUCUUCAUGUUCCUUCUUGUUUACAUCCUGGUCAACCAUUUCAUGUCUAGCCUGUGUCUUUACCUGAGACAGCGUCUUUUUAUCUGCCUUGUGUGCUGAUUCAGUCUUGUUUUCGUCUGAUUCAGGUAAAGCAUAGAAAUGGGACUGUAGAUGCUAGGGCACCCCUGACCUUGACGUCUUUGCACGUUGGCUGCACUUGGGAGUUGGUCAUUAGGGAGAGGCAACCGCUUGCCCUCUCUCUUUUUCGAGCUUCUUCAGCUGUUUAAUUUCCAUUGAAAGCCUGUGACAGACUGACCAACUAUGGGGCCACACCAAACAUCAGGACCACUUCUGUCACGUAGAUUGUGUAAAAGAUGGGGACGCUGACAGUGUCUGUGGAGAGUCGCUCUCGCUGCUGGCCAACCAGGUUGGCAAAUAGCAUCAACCCUCAGAGAGGGAAAGAGUGGCUGAGCAUCUUAAAGGGAACCGUUUUUUUUUUUUUCACCGGUGAGCAAAAACUUUUUGUUAUCAACCGGCAAACUGUUUCGUUCGAAUGUCAACUAAAACAUGUCCAUGGUGACAUUGUGACAUCUUAAUAUAUUUUAGUAGGAUUCUGCUGAAUAUGCAUGAAUUAGCUCUGGUGUCUUGCUGGUGAAGGAACCAAAAAAUGUCAAUUAUAUGUUUAUUUACACAUUCAAUGAUUCUUCAUUGUUUAGCAUAAACAUGUAUACCUAUGUACUUCAUUUCUGUCCUCGUAAGGCUAUCAGAUGUGUAUGUAGAGACAAAAGGGUUGCUUUUAACUGCCUAGCUUGCUUGAUCCUUGAGUUAACACCACUCUGUCAUAUGAGAUGGCCCCAGGUACAGAUUUGAUUGACCCCUAAUUGAUAAGGGGUCUAUUCUGCAGGACUAGUCUUGGUAUCUUCAUGUCGGCUAACCAACCCCAACAUAUUAUAUUGUUGGGUUAUAAACCAGAGUCGGGUUUGGAAAAUCUCUCUCUUGCAUUUUCAUCACUUCUGCAUGCAUUUCUGCUCUUGCAACUUCCUAAAUCUCCUGAGAACUUUCAUCUUUGAUACUUAAUGACUAUUUUGAAUUAAUCUAAGACAAUUCAAAAUCAAGUUCCUUCACUGGUAUGACAAUUUGAACCAGAGUCAUAUAAUACUGUGAGGAAGUACUCCUCUCUGAAAAGUUUUGUAAAUUUAGUUUUUUGAUGUAUUUGUAAUGAUGGAUAUUUGAUCACGAUUUCCACACCAGUGACUGAUACAGGUAACUUAAUCCAAGAAAUUAAAUAAAUGCACAACUGACAUUUGCCUGACCAAACCUGGGUGAUGAACAAGUCUUCUGGAACAAUGUGCUUCGGACAGAUCAGAAAACGUUAUACGGCAGUAAUGUGAAAACAAAAUACUUUCUUUUAACAAAAGCACCUUAUAUAAAUUGCGGUUUGGGGGUGCAUUGCACCAUCAGGGACUGUGCUUUAGUCAACUAUGAGUUCCAAUUUGUAUGAGAGAAUACUCAGGAGAAUGUGAAACUAUCGGUUAAAAAGCUAAAGCUGAAGCAAAAAUGUGUAUUGCAACAGGACAAUGAUCCAAAAUUCUAGAGCAAUUCCACAACAGAACGGACCAAAAAUCUGAAAUGGAGGGUUAUGGAAUGGAAGAGUCAAUUGAUUUUAUUCCUACAGAAAAGCUCAGGGAAAAGUUGAAGCAGGCUGUACAUACCAGGAAGCCUUCUAAUCAUACAGCUGAAGCUGUUAGAAAGAUUGGCCAUGAAUUACUUUCAAUCAAUGUGAGGGACUGAUAGGUCUAUUGUCAAUUAAACACAAAGUCCCUCCUUUGUCCUCAGUCCUGCCCUCUCUCCACUUUGACCCGGAUCUGAUUAAGUGGUUGAGGAGAUAGCUUUGGUGAACAGAUUGCACAGACACGAGUGAAUGUUAUUGUGUAAAAACAUAUAUAAAAUACAGAAAAGAAUAUACAAAAAGGGCAAAACCUCGUUUUGAAGCUAGGGUUGUAUCUUUUUUAUCACAAAGAAAUUGCUAUCUUAAGUUACUCAUCUGUCAAUAUUGUUGAAGUUGAUCAAAUAUCCAAAUAGUUAAACAC